UACGUAGGGUGCAAGCGUUGUCCGGAAUUAUUGGGCGUAAAGAGCUCGUAGGCGGUCUGUCGCGUCGGAUGUGAAAGCCCGGGGCUUAACUCCGGGUCUGCAUUCGAUACGGGCAGACUAGAGUGUGGUAGGGGAGAUCGGAAUUCCUGGUGUAGCGGUGAAAUGCGCAGAUAUCAGGAGGAACACCGGUGGCGAAGGCGGAUCUCUGGGCCAUUACUGACGCUGAGGAGCGAAAGCGUGGGGAGCGAACAGG
rnacentral:rRNA from 1 species